AGCGAACGCUGGCGGCAGGCCUAACACAUGCAAGUCGAACGCCCCUUCGGGGGAGUGGCGGACGGGUGAGUAACGCGUGGGAACGUGCCCUUUGGUACGGAACAACUGAGGGAAACUUCAGCUAAUACCGUAUGUGCCCUACGGGGGAAAGAUUUAUCGCCAUUGGAGCGGCCCGCGUUGGAUUAGCUAGUUGGUGGGGUAAAGGCCUACCAAGGCGACGAUCCAUAGCUGGUCUGAGAGGAUGAUCAGCCACACUGGGACUGAGACACGGCCCAGACUCCUACGGGAGGCAGCAGUGGGGAAUAUUGGACAAUGGGCGCAAGCCUGAUCCAGCCAUGCCGCGUGAGUGAUGAAGGCCCUAGGGUUGUAAAGCUCUUUCACCGGUGAAGAUAAUGACGGUAACCGGAGAAGAAGCCCCGGCUAACUUCGUGCCAGCCGCCGCCGUAACAC
rnacentral:rRNA from 1 species